CCUGGCUCCAACCUACUCAAUAACCAGCCUACAGACUGUUUGAGCUGGUCCAUACAUUUUCUUUUUAUUGAGAGUGAGAGAGAGAGAGAGUGAGAGAGAGAGAGAGAUUCCAGUCACACUGCACCAACACACAGCGGCAGACACUGACAGAGAGCAUUAGUGUGAUGAGGCGAAAGAGCAAGAGGAGGGCGGAGAAAACCCAUCCGAGAGAAAAG